rnacentral:rRNA from 2 species
AACGGCGAGUGAAGCGGCAAAAGCUCAAAUUUUAAAGCUGACAUCUUCGGUGUCCGCGUUGUAAUUUUGUGAGGCAUCUCCGGGUAGGGCGCUGGCCUAAGUUCCUUGGAACAGGACGUCACAGAGGGUGAGAAUCCCGUGCUUGGCUGGCUGUCCCCGUCCAUGUGAGGUGUCUUCGACGAGUCGAGUUGUUUGGGAAUGCAGCUCAAAAUGGGUGGUAAAUUUCAUCUAAAGCUAAAUAUUGGUGGGAGACCGAUAGCGCACAAGUAGAGUGAUCGAAAGAUGAAAAGCACUUUGAAAAUAGAGUUAAAAAGUACGUGAAAUUGUUGAAAGGGAAGCGCUUGAGACCAGACUUCGGUAAGGGGUGAUCAGCCGUCCUUUUGGGCGGUGCACUUGCCCCCCUCCGGGCCAGCAUCGGUUGAGGCGGCGGGAUAAAGGUCCCGGGAAUGUGGCUCCUUCACGGGAGUGUUAUAGCCCGGGUGAAUGCCGCCAGCUUCGACCGAGGACCGCACCCGCAAGGGUUAGGAUGCUUGGCAUAAUGGUCUUCAGCGA